GUAGGGUGCGAGCGUUAAUCGGAAUUACUGGGCGUAAAGCGUGCGCAGGCGGCUUUGUAAGCCGGAUGUGAAAUCCCCGGGCUUAACCUGGGAAUGGCAUUCGGGACUGCAAGGCUGGAGUGCGGCAGAGGAGACUGGAAUUCCUGGUGUAGCAGUGAAAUGCGUAGAUAUCAGGAGGAACACCGAUGGCGAAGGCAGGUCUCUGGGCUGACACUGACGCUCAUGCACGAAAGCGUGGGGAGCAAACAGGAUUAGAUACCCUGGUAGUCCACGCCCUAAACGAUGUCGACUGGUUGUUGGGGGUUUGACACUCUCAGUAACGAAGCUAACGCGUGAAGUCGACCGCCUGGGGAGUACGGCCGCAAGGUUA
rnacentral:rRNA from 1 species